UCCGGUUUGUCACCGGCAGUCUCACUAGAGUGCCCUUUCGUAGCAACUAGUGACAAGGGUUGCGCUCGUUGCGGGACUUAACCCAACAUCUCACGACACGAGCUGACGACAGCCAUGCAGCACCUGUGUCCCGGCUCCCUUUCGGGCACGCCCACAUCUCUGCGGGCUUCCGGGCAUGUCAAGGGUAGGUAAGGUUUUUCGCGUUGCAUCGAAUUAAUCCACAUCAUCCACCGCUUGUGCGGGUCCCCGUCAAUUCCUUUGAGUUUUAAUCUUGCGACCGUACUCCCCAGGCGGUCGACUUCACGCGUUAGCUGCGUUACCGAAGAUGUGAAUCCCCGACAACUAGUCGACAUCGUUUAGGGCGUGGACUAC
rnacentral:misc_RNA from 1 species